UCCUCCAAACCCUGCAUUGAAAUUUAAUCCCCAAUUGGGAAAAGUUGAAAGCAUCUGGAAAUCUGCAGAUUUGGAUGCACAAACAAUUAGACAUAAGACACAGCAUAAUGAAGUAUUUGUUUUCAUAGAGGAUCAUAGAAAUUCAUAAACAGAGGAUGAAGAAACACAGAAGACAGAGGAAGGAUUUAGUUUUGGGAACAUGUGCUAAUGGCCAUCAAACAAUUCUGAAAUAACUGAAAGAGAACCUUUGAAACACCCUUUAGAUUAAGAGCCUGGCUUGUAAUCUGUAACAACAAACGGUAUUACAAUGAGAAAAAUAAAUGUCCUGUCAAGGCAUUCCUUCAAUGACAUCUUGUCACACAAGUCUAUAUCCAAGGCUGCCCACAAAGUGGAAAAAUGGGGAAAAUAGAGAAUUCAGCUCACUAUGAUUUCUGCAAUAUACAAUUAUGGGAAAUCAUGUUUGGAUUGACACUGCAGACAGAAAUGGCAUGCAUGAUUCCUGUUUGGACAGGAAUAGCUGUUGGGGAGGAAGCCAACCUUGAAUGACACUGAAGAGCAACAUAAUGAAGCAUGAAUUGACAGGCAUCCUUCACGUUGCUUCUGGCUUCCCGUGUAAAAAGCCAUAUCUGAGCGCAGCUCUUAUGGGGCCAGAUCCAGGGGAGGAGAAAGGAAGUGAGGCCCAGAAAAAAUACAUUGUCAUGGAGGAGUGAAACUGAAGACAAAACAAAAAGGACUUUCCACAACUAGGCCCCUGGCUUACACUGCAAUGGAAGAAGAGGAGCAGAAAUACUGCCAAAGAUCCUUAUGAUGGCAUUGCAUUUUAGACUGCUUUUCAACUGAUUAUGACAGUAUCAACAAAAGAAACUUUCAUUUGAGGGACAUGGAUGGAGCUGGAGGCCAUUAUCCUUAGCAAGGUAACACAAGAACAGAAAACGAAAUACUGCAUGUUCUCACUUAUAAAUGGGAACUAAAUGAUGAGAAUAUAUGGACACAUAGAGGGGAACAACACACACUGAAGCCUUUUAGAGGGUGAAUGGUGGGAAGAGGGAGAGGAUCAGAAAAAAUAACCAAUGGGUACUAGGCUUAAAACUGGGUGAUGGAGGCAGGGCGUGGUGGCUCACGCCUGUAAUCCCAACACUUUGGGAGGCUGAGGCGGGCAGAUCACCAGGUCAGGAGAUGGAGAUCAUCCUGGUGAACACGGUGAAACCCCAUCUCUACUAAAAAUACAAAAAAAUUAGCUGGGCGUGGCGGCCGGCGCCUGUAAUCCCAGCUACUCGGAAGGCUGAGGCAGGAGAAUGGCGAGAACCCGGGAGGCGGAGCUUGCAGUGAGCUGAGAUCGCGCCACUGCACUCCAGACUGGGCGAUAGAGCAAGACUCCCUAUCAAAAACAAAACAAAACAAAACAAAACAAAACAAAACAAAACUGGAUGAUGAAAUAAUCUGCACAGCAAACUCCCACAACACACGUUUACCUAUAUAACAACUUGCAGUUGUACCCCUGAACUUAAAAGAAUAAUCGGCCAGGCGCAGUGGGUCACGCCUGUAAUCCCAGCACUUUGGGAGGCUGAUGUGGGUGGAUCACCUGAAGUAAGGAGUUCGAGACCAGCCUGGCCAACAUGACGAAACCCCGUCUCUACUAAAAAUAACAAAAAUUAUCUGGGCAUGUUGGCACACGUGCCUGUAAUCCCAGCUACUGGGGGACUGAGGCAGGAGGAUCACUUGAACCUGGGAGGAGGAGGUUGCAGCGAGCCGAGAUCGCACCACUGCACUCCAGCCGGUGCAACAGAGUGAGACUUCAUCUCAAAUAAAUAAAUAAAUAAAAGAUUAAUAAACAAAAACAAAAAAACACAAAAAAUUCUAUACCUCAAUUUAUAAAAUUCUAUAACUGUCUAUUAACUACUAAUAAAAAUGUGUGAUAAAGGC
rnacentral:lncRNA from 10 species